GAUGAACGCUGACAGAAUGCUUAACACAUGCAAGUCAACUUGAAUUUGGGUUUUUACCUUUGGUUUGGGUGGCGGACGGGUGAGUAACGCGUAAAGAACUUGCCUCACAGCUAGGGACAACAUUUGGAAACGAAUGCUAAUACCUAAUAUUAUGAUAAUAGGGCAUCCUAUAAUUAUGAAAGCUAUAAGCGCUGUGAGAGAGCUUUGCGUCCCAUUAGCUAGUUGGAGAGGUAACGGCUCACCAAGGCGAUGAUGGGUAGCCGGUCUGAGAGGGUGAUCGGCCACAAGGGGACUGAGACACGGCCCUUACUCCUACGGGAGGCAGCAGUGGGGAAUAUUGGACAAUGGACCGAGAGUCUGAUGCAGCAAUUCUGUGUGCACGAUGAAGUUUUUCGGAAUGUAAAGUGCUUUCAGUUGGGAAGAAACAAAUGACGGUACCAACAGAAGAAGUGACGGCUAAAUACGUG
rnacentral:rRNA from 1 species